rnacentral:rRNA from 1 species
AUUGAACGCUGGCGGCAGGCCUAACACAUGCAAGUCGAACGAGUGGCGGACGGGUGAGUAAAGUCUGGGAAACUGCCUGAUGGAGGGGGAUAACUACUGGAAACGGUAGCUAAUACCGCAUACCAUCAGAUGUGCCCAGAUGGGAUUAGCUAGUUGGUGGGGUAACGGCUCACCAAGGCGACGAUACCUAGCUGGUCUGAGAGGAUGACCAGCCACACUGGAACGGGGACACGGUCCAGACUCCUAAGAGAGGCAGCAGAAGGGAAUAUUGCACAGUGGGCGCGAGCCUGAUGCAGCCAUGCCGCGUGUAUGGAGAAGGCCUUCGGGUUGUAAAGUACUUUCAGCGGGGAGGCGUUACCCGCAUAAGAAGCACCGGCUAACUUCGUGCCAGCAGCCGCGGUAAUAC